AGAGUUUGAUCCUGGCUCAGAACGAACGCUGGCGGCAGGCCUAACACAUGCAAGUCGAGCGAGACCUUCGGGUCUAGCGGCGGACGGGUUAGUAACGCGUGGGAACGUACCCUUUUCUAAGGAAUAGCCACUGGAAACGGUGAGUAAUGCCUUAUACGCCCUUCGGGGGAAAGAUUUAUCGGAGAAGGAUCGGCCCGCGUUAGAUUAGAUAGUUGGUGGGGUAAUGGCCUACCAAGUCUACGAUCUAUAGCUGGUUUGAGAGGAUGAUCAGCAACACUGGGACUGAGACACGGCCCAGACUCCUACGGGAGGCAGCAGUGGGGAAUCUUAGACAAUGGGCGCAAGCCUGAUCUAGCCAUGCCGCGUGAGUGAUGAAGGCCUUAGGGUCGUAAAGCUCUUUCGCCUGUGAAGAUAAUGACUGUAGCAGGUAAAGAAACCCCGGCUAACUCCGUGCCAGCAGCCGCGGUAAUACGGAGGGGGUUAGCGUUGUUCGGAAUUACUGGGCGUAAAGCGCGCGUAGGCGGACAUUUAAGUCAGGGGUGAAAUCCCGGGGCUCAACCCCGGAACUGCCCUUGAUACUGGGUGUCUUGAGUUCGAGAGAGGUGAGUGGAAUUCCGAGUGUAGAGGUGAAAUUCGUAGAUAUUCGGAGGAACACCAGUGGCGAAAGCGGCUCACUGGCUCGAUACUGACGCUGAGGUGCGAAAGUGUGGGGAGCAAACAGGAUUAGAUACC
rnacentral:rRNA from 1 species